GACGAACGCUGGCGGCGUGCUUAACACAUGCAAGUGGUGCGACGAACCAGGGCUUGCCCUGGGGCAAAGCCGCGAACGGGUGAGUAACACGUGGGUAAUCUGCCCCGAUGACCGGGACAACCCGAGGAAACUCGGGCUAAUACCGGGUGUGGUGCACUGACAUAAGUCUGUGUACUAAAGGAAGCUUCGGCCUCCGCAUUGGGAGGUGCCCGCGGCCCAUUAGCUUGUUGGUGGGGUAACGGCCUACCAAGGCGACGAUGGGUAGCUGGUCUGAGAGGACGAUCAGCCACACUGGGACUGAGACACGGCCCAGACUCCUACGGGAGGCAGCAGUGGGGAAUCUUGCGCAAUGCGCGAAAGCGUGACGCAGCAACGCCGCGUGGGGGAAGACGGCCUUCGGGUUGUAAACCCCUUUCAGGAGGGACGAAGGUUCGCCGGUGAAUAGCCGUGCGGAUUGACGGUACCUCCACAAGAAGCUCCGGCUAACUACGUGCCAGCAGCCGCCGUAAGAC
rnacentral:rRNA from 1 species